UGGGGAAUAUUGGUCAAUGGGCGCAAGCCUGAACCAGCCAUCCCGCGUGCAGGAUGACGGCCCUAUGGGUUGUAAACUGCUUUUGUACAGGAAGAAAAAUCCCUACGUGUAGGGACCUGCCGGUACUGUACGAAUAAGCAUCGGCUAACUCCGUGCCAGCAGCCGCGGUAAUACGGAGGAUGCAAGCGUUAUCCGGAUUCAUUGGGUUUAAAGGGUGCGUAGGCGGCUUUUUAAGUCAGUGGUGAAAUCCUGUCGCUCAACGAUAGAAUUGCCAUUGAUACUGAGAAGCUUGAGUUCAGUUGAGGUAAGCGGAAUGUGUAGUGUAGCGGUGAAAUGCUUAGAUAUUACCCAGAACCCCAAUUGCGAGGCAGCCUACUACGGGGUGAUUGACACUGAGGCACGAGAGCAUGGGGAGCAAAC
rnacentral:rRNA from 1 species